AAACAAAUAAAUAAAAAUAAACAUCUCUUUUUUAAGAGCGAACUUGUGUGCAACGGCUGCAAACAGCAGCUUCCUUGGUAGUGUAGUGCAGCCUGUUUCUUGUAUGGGUUGCUCUAAGGGGCCUUGGACACAAGC
rnacentral:snoRNA from 1 species